rnacentral:piRNA from 1 species
UGCAAACUGAGACCUCACAGGGGCUUUUACA